UUGGGGUCGCGGUUGCUGUCUC
rnacentral:misc_RNA from 1 species